CGAACGGCUGAGUAACACGUGGGCAACCUGCCCUUUGCACUGGGAUAGCCUCGGGAAACCGAGGUUAAUACCGGAUACUCCAUAUCCAUCGCAUGAUAGAUAUGGGAAAGCUCCGGCGGCAAAGGAUGGGCCCGCGGCCUGUUAGCUAGUUGGUGGGGUAGUGGCCUACCAAGGCAAUGAUGGGUAGCCGGGUUGAGAGACCGACCGGCCAGAUUGGGACUGAGACACGGCCCAGACUCCUACGGGAGGCAGCAGUC
rnacentral:rRNA from 1 species